AUACGGAGGGUGCAAGCGUUGUCCGGAUUUAUUGGGUUUAAAGGGUGCGUAGGUGGCGUGUUAAGUCAGUGGUGAAAGCCUGCAGCUCAACUGUAGAGGUGCCAUUGUUACUGACAUGCUUGAGUAUGGACGAGGUAGGCGGAAUUUGUGGUGUAGCGGUGAAAUGCAUAGAUACCACAAAGAACACCGAUAGCGAAGGCAGCUUACUGGACCAUAACUGACACUGAGGCACGAAAGUAUGGGUAGCGAACAGGAUUAGAAACCCCAGUAGUCC
rnacentral:rRNA from 1 species